rnacentral:rRNA from 1 species
CGGCACGGGUGAGUAACGCGUGGGUAACCUGCCUUGUACUGGGGGACAACAGUUGGAAACGACUGCUAAUACCGCAUAAGCGCACAGCUUCGCAUGAAGCAGUGUGAAAAACUCCGGUGGUACAAGAUGGACCCGCGUCUGAUUAGCUGGUUGGUGAGGUAACGGCCCACCAAGGCGACGAUCAGUAGCCGGCCUGAGAGGGUGAACGGCCACAUUGGGACUGAGACACGGCCCAA